GCCAGCUUACUCUGCAUCCUCGCAAUUCUAAGCGCUCUCUCAAGCAGCCCACACCUGGAGUUCUCUGGCCAUGACCUCCCAUGGCCUCACUCCGUCAGCUCCUCUCCAACUCAGGGUGCAAUGGGCUUCACUUCUGCACACGGAAAGCAGUUGGCCUGCAGCUGUCGCCAGGCGUCAACGAUGAAGACUGAGCCAUGGCUGCCAUAAAGUGAGUGAGGAUGAAGAGAAGCAACAAUGAAAACCUAUCACUCCUGGGUAGUGCUGUGCGCCCAGCGCCCUGCAGCAGCUUAAUGAACAUGAAGCUCCUCGCCUGACCCCUGAAGAGCCCUGCGGCAGCAUACCACUGGCAUCAUUAUUUUUAUGAUCAACCCUAUUGUAUGGAUGAGGAGUCCGAGGCGUAGACAGAAUGGGUAAUUUUCAGAUUUCACAGAAGGUGGAGUUGGAGAUCAUGCUCAGGAGUCCGAGUGAGCUCUCGCCUACUGACCUGCACAUCCUGGCUGCCUGGGCCAUUCAGGCAAGUGUUUCGAGCUCUGUCAAGGCCAUCUGCAGGGGCAGCCGGUCGGGAUGGCCUUUGGAGGUGUUCUUCAGCAUGUCCUGCAAGCAACAGGGGAGAGGUGGGCAGUUACCAAGUGCAUACAUCCAAUGCAACGACACUCAUGUCACCCACCAGCUGGCAGCUGGAAAGGAGGCAGUGGCAUCCAUCAUCCUGGGGAAAAAUAAAGUCAGUUCUCGGGAAGGGAUGAUGAGCUAAGUGAGUCACGACUUGGCUGAACAUCUGAACAGCUUCCUUUGCAAAAACAAAAUUUAAAAAAAUAGCACUGUACAAUAAAGGACAUGCUAAAUGUGAAGAAGCCACAAUCUCAGAAAUGCUGUGCACUUGGAACGAUGCUCAUGGUGCUGAUAGAUUGUCCUUCUCAAGCUGAGUCGGACAGAUGAACCCACGUGCAGAUGGGCCCAGCUCCUUUCUUCAAAAGCUCAGUCUCCCAAUUUCCAAUGUGCAGGAGUUCUGUGGUGCCGAAGACUGCACCCUUGGUGUCAACUCACACAGCAGGAUGCAGUCUCUCUCACACUGACAAAGGAACCUGAUUUUAGGGCAGCAAAGACACAGCAUGACACAAUGGUGGAUCUACGUCACUAAACGUUUGUCCCACCGAAUGCACAGUACAGGGGCACACCCUCCUGUGACUGUGGCCACGUGGCCACACAGGCUCCUGGUUGUCACAAACACACCCUGGCGAGGAUGUGG